rnacentral:rRNA from 1 species
GACGAACGCUGGCGGCGUGCUUAACACAUGCAAGUCGAACGGAAAGGCCCUGCUUUUGUGGGGUGCUCGAGUGGCGAACGGGUGAGUAACACGUGAGUAACCUGCCCUUGACUUUGGGAUAACUUCAGGAAACUGGGGCUAAUACCGGAUAGGAGCUCCUGCUGCACGGUGGGGGUUGGAAAGUUUCGGCGGUUGGGGAUGGACUCGCGGCUUAUCAGCUUGUUGGUGGGGUAGUGGCUUACCAAGGCUUUGACGGGUAGCCGGCCUGAGAGGGUGACCGGCCACAUUGGGACUGAGAUACGGCCCAGACUCCUACGGGAGGCAGCAGUGGGGAAUAUUGCACAAUGGGCGGAAGCCUGAUGCAGCAGCGCCGCGUGCGGGAUGACGGCCUUCGGGUUGUAAACCGCUUUCGACUGUGACGAAGCGUGAGUGACGGUAAUGGGUAAAGAAGCACCGGCUAACUACGUG